AUGGAGGCCAUCGAGAAGCCCCACGCUGUUUGCCUGCCGGCCCCGGCGCAGGGCCACAUAACGCCGAUGCUCAAGUUGGCCAAGAUACUCCACACCCGGGGCUUCUACGUCACCUUCGUCAACACCGAGUUCAACCACCGCCGGCUGCUCCGCUCGCGCGGACCAGCGGCGCUCAAUGGCCUCCCUGACUUCCGCUUCGCGUCGAUGCCGGACGGGCUCCCUCCAUCCGACGAGGACGCCACCCAGGAAGUCGGUGGACUGUGCUACUCCAUCAUGACCACCUUCCUGCCCCACUUCAUGGCACUUCUUGGCAAGCUCAGUGAGCCCAACUCCGGAGUGCCGCCUAUCACCUGUCUCGUCGUUGAUGGAGUCAUGUCGUUUGGCUACGAUGCGGCAAAGGAGAUCGGCGUGCCGUGCGCCGCGCUGUGGACAUCUAGCGCCUGUGGGUUCAUGGGGUACCGCCACUACCGUCAGCUCAUAGAGCGGGGUUUCGUUCCUUUCAAAGAUGAGUCACAUGUCACGGACAAGGAACACCUUGACACCGUGGUGCAGGGCGUUGCGGGCAUGUGCGACGGCAUGCGCCUGCGCGACUUCCCGAACUUCAUACGUACGACGGACCGCGAGGACGUGCUGCUGAACUUCAUCAUGUACAUGUCUGAGCGGUUAUCGCUCCCGGACGCGGUGUUGCUCAACACCUUCGAUGAGCUCGAGGGGCCGGUGCUGGACGCCAUGCGCGCCAUCCUCCCACCCGUGUACACUGUUGGCCCGCUCCACCGCUACGCUAGCCUCGUGGUACCGGCUGGCGCCUCGGUCCACGACCUCGGGUCCAACCUUUGGAGGGAGCAGGACGGCCUCCUGGAGUGGCUCGACGGACAGAGCGCCCGUUCCGUCGUGUACGUCAACUACGGCAGCAUCACCGUCAUGACGAACGCGGAGCUCCUCGAGUUCGCGUGGGGGCUUGCCAACAGCGGCUACCCGUUCAUAUGGAACAUCCGGCCAGACCUUGUGAAGGGCGACUCGGCCGUGCUACCGCCGGAAUUCCUUUCUGCCAUCAGCGGCCGCUCCAUGCUGACAACAUGGUGCUCACAGGAGAAGGUGAUUGCCCACGAGGCAGUGGGGGUUUUCUUGACGCACUCCGGGUGGAACUCGACCCUGGAGAGUAUCUGUACCGGCGUGCCAAUGUUGAGCUGGCCCUUUUUCGCAGAGCAACAAACCAACUGCCGGUACAAGUGCACCGAGUGGGGGAAUGGGAUGGAGAUCGGCGGAGAGGUGAAAAGGGCAGAGCUCGCGGCGAUGAUACAGGAGGUGAUGGAUGGGGAGAAGGGGCAGGAGAUGAGGAAGCGCGCGGCGGAGUGGAAGGAAAAGGCCGUGCGGGCGACUCUGCCUGGUGGACCCGUGGAGGUCAGUUUGGACACGGUGAUUCGCGAUGUACUUUUGGCAAGAUUAAAUAAACUCCCAGAAUGA
rnacentral:rRNA from 1 species